UUCCGGCCGCCGGGCGGGGGAGGGCGGAGGGGGGGAUGCGCCGGAGAGGAGGGGGAGGGGCGGGGAAGCCCCGCUCGCCGACGGGCCGGGCAACCCCAACCGAGCGCUAAUAAAAUCGCCGCAGAGGCGCGGCCGCCUCGCGGGCUUCCUUCCUAGGGGGCGCUGUGGAGCGCGGGCGGAGGCGCGCGCGCGAGGCCUCGGGACUCUUUUGCCCUCUCAGGGCGGAAGGAACGCGGUCGGCCUGAGGAAAGGGUCGUCGCUGACCCGAGGCCUCAGAGUGCCGGGAGCGGCCCCCGCCCCUUUAAUCUUUUUUUGAGGGGGGAGUCGCGGUAACGCGGCUCUCUUGAGAUGCCGCGGAGGGUCGGCCGCCGGGUUUCAGGGCUUCACCGCCUGCUUGGAGGUGGAGAAGCGCGCUUGCUCGCGGUGGAGUCGGGCGGCGGAGCGGGGCGGCCUUGUGGAUCCGAGGCCCGGGCGGCUGAAGGAUUGGGCCCCGUCCUAACCCUCUGGUCUCGGUAGUUUUUGUGGUCUGCACCUCAGAACUGGGGCCUGAUUUCCUGGAGAGGCUGAGGCUGCCGAAAUGAGUUUCCAGUACCGAACAAUGCAACUGGGAGUGGGCGUUGUCCGUGUUGAAAUAAAAACUGGGACGGGAUCCUCGCCCAGUUGGCGCUUUCUCAGCGCGCUGACCUGCGGUCGAGGCUUAGAGCCGAGCUCUGGAGAGGGCGGAGGCCCCGAGCGGAGAUUUCUAUUAUAGAUCAAUGCAGAAUGGAUCAAACCGGAAAGAAGCCUCUCUGGCCAGAAACAGUCUUCAUUGAAAGAAAUAACAUCCCUAAAGGAGGAACAUGUAAAUCAGGAAUUGAGCCAAGAAAAGCCUGGGAGGGUCACCGCUGUACCCACAUCCUCAGCUCAUCUUUGCAAUUACUGCAGCCUCCACCAGUACUGUGACAGCAACCUUAUGAGAGACCCUGACCUAGAGGACCCAGCUAAGCCACGCUCUGACUCCUGACCCAUGUGAAUUGUGAGAUGAUACAUGUUAUAUGAAAUAAUCUAUUGUCGAACAACAGUAACUCUCUGGGACAGUAAAUCUUAAAGCCUUAAAGAAGAAGGGCAUACUUUAGGAUUUGAGGUUCAAAUGAAAGUCCUGAGAGCUUUGGUAAUAAACAAAGAAGAUUUUUGAUGUGUUCCCGGCAUUUGGGAUAAAGAAAGUGGAUUUUGAUGGAAGUUUUAAAUUUCUUAAGAGGAAGAAUUAAUGUGAAUUGAAAGGAGAAGCUUCUCCUGGAAGAAUAAUAUUUGAGUUUCAGGCACUUCUGAACAAAUAGAAUAUGAAAAUGCCAGUGCUGAAACUAAUGCAAGAAACUCUGCAUGGAAGCUCCCUGUGAAGCUAAAGAAGCCAAAAAAGACGUGUGACAUCUCUCCUGAAAGAAUUAGAACACAGCUUGGUGUCAAUAAAGAGAUUGCAACCCAUGGAGAAAAUAGUUAUUAAAAAUAUGUCCUCAAAGUCAGCAAGAGACAGAGAGACAGAGAUCGUUUGAAGAUGGAGUAAAAAGGAAAUGCUUGGAGUUAGCUAAUAACAAUGAUAUCAUCUUCCAACUAGUUUAGAAUCAGAGCUUUUUCAGCAACUGAAAAAAUGUACACAAAAAUAAGUUCACUAUCUAAUAAAGACCAAUUGACACACUUAAA